CAGACUCCCAAGAACAAGCACAGUGAGGUGGAACUUCCACAGCCGAGCUGUGAAUGCUGUUUUUUAGCACAAAGAAGACCUGCUCCAGUGUUUUGGAAGCAUCAGGGACUCAGGACAGUUUGAUCCUCCCACUGUGAGAGAAGCUGCAGGGUUUGUGAGACGACUGGAAGAUGACAGUUUCUUCUUCUUGUUGAAAGUGUUGCAUCUCUUCAUGACUCAUGUAGACAUUCUCUGAAGCCAGCUAGAGAAGCGGACCAUCGACUCGGUCUUUUUUCAUGGAAUUAUGCAGCAGUACACAGCCAACAUACAAAAGAUUAGAUUCCCUCCUUACUGUCUGUGGAGAACCCAGUGGCGGUGUAUCGCCGCAGGCCAAGAAACGUUGCACACUGGGCACACGUGAUCUUCAGAGGCUACAGAGGGUCGCGGGCUUGCUGGAGCCUAUCCCAGCUAUCUUCGGGCGAGAGGCAGGGUACACCCUGAACUGGUCGCCAGCCAAUCACAGGGCACAUAUCAACAGACAACCAUUCGCACUCACACACCUACGGGCAACUUAGAGUUGACAAUUAACCUAAAAUGCAUGUUUUGGGGAUGUGGGAGGAAACCGGAGUGCCUGGAGAAAACCUCAGAACUGUGAAGCAGACGCUCCAACCAGUUGUCCACCGUGCCGCCGAAAUUAGAAUUUCCUUCUGUAAUUAUUAUAUAUUCAUUGGUAUUACGCGCCAUCUAGUGGUCACAAUGAAUAGCGCCUCUUAAACAGAGUAGCUGUGUCAUCCAUCCUUUUCCUCCAUGCGGUGGUUUGAAUUCAAAGUCAUUGACGGUCGGUAAACUUUUUUUUUACAUUUUUGCAGAUUUAUUACAAAAAUCCAUCCAUCCAUCCAUUUUCUGAGCCGCUUCUCCUCACUAGGGUCGCGGGCGUGCUGGAGCCUAUCCCAGCUGUCAUCGGGCAGGAGGCGGGGUACAGCCUGAACUGGUUGCCAGCCAAUCGCAGGGCACUUAGGAACAAACAACCAUUUGCACUCACAGUCAUGCCUACGGGCAAUUUAGAGUCUCCAAUUCAUGCAUGUUUUGGGGAUGUGGGAGGAAACCGGAGUGCCCGGAGAAAACCCACGCAGGCACGGGGAGAACAUGCAAACUCCACACAGGCGGGGCCGGGGAUUGAACCCGGGUCCUCAGAACUGUGAGGCUGACGCUCUAAC